rnacentral:rRNA from 1 species
ACGUAGGGUGCAAGCGUUGUCCGGAAUUAUUGGGCGUAAAGAGCUCGUAGGCGGUCUGUCGCGUCUGCUGUGAAAACCUAGGGCUUAACCCUGGGCCUGCAGUGGGUACGGGCAGACUAGAGUGAUGUAGGGGAGACUGGAAUUCCUGGUGUAGCGGUGAAAUGCGCAGAUAUCAGGAGGAACACCGAUGGCGAAGGCAGGUCUCUGGGCAUUAACUGACGCUGAGGAGCGAAAGCAUGGGGAGCGAACAGGA